ACGCCAGUCCCGCAGCCACGCGACGCGCCCCCACCUCCCCCGCGGUAAUUCCGCACUCGCGGCGCCACCUGCCCACCUUCCCCGAAUGCCUCCGCAAUAAUUCCGGCCCCGUCGCGCCUCCCCGCCGCACCACGCGACGAUGGUAUCCCCGCAACGGCGCCUCCCCCGACGUCGUGCCUCCUCUGCCGCACCCCGCGAAGCCGCCUCCCCUCCGAUGUGGCACCAGCCUCCGACGCCGCCGGAACCUGCAACGCCGACUCCCCGUCGCGGCACCGGCCGAUCCGUCGCUCCCCGGCGCCUGCACCUGCACCUGCCGUGCCGUCGCUCCGUCCCCGGCCGCUGUCCGCGUCGCCCAUCCGCGUCGCCACUGCGCCGCCGUCCCGGCCGAUCCGUGCCGCCGCUUCGUAGACGAACACCCACGAACUCGAUCCAUGGUCAGGUAUUCUUAUUCAAUCCUGUGUGUGCUGGAGGCAUCGUGGUCGUGGUCGUGGUUGUGGUAGUCGGCGGCGGGCCCGGCGGAUCCGUGGAGGCCACCCCCUUCUCCUUCCCUCCCCCUCGAUGUUUGCCCCCUUGAUCCGCAGCCCCCACAUGCCGCCACCUCCUCCUCCCCCCUCCCCCUUGAUGUGCGCCUGACCUAGGUGGGCGAGGAGUUGGAGGGCGCGGAGGCCACGCGUGCGACGACCUCGCGGAGCGUGUUCCGGACGGCGAGGUAGAACACGCCGAGAAGCUCAUCUCCUUGCCGUUGAGCUCCGCCUCCGAGCUUUCAGGAACUGGGACCAGAACACCAUCCCCGUCCCCACCCCCAUCGCUGCCGCGCACCAGCCGGGCCAGGAACGAGGAGGCGAGCAGGCAGAAAAGUCCGUGCAGAUUCGCCAAGUGACAGUGCAGACGCUCACCGUCUAUUCAACGAGAUGCCUCCCUUCUGUUUCUCCGUGAAAAUGAUGGUUUUAUUAUCCCUCGAAAGUGAUUGCACCGAGGCUUGGGAGAGCCUAUUGAAGGUGAUGAUGGACGUGUUAGGAGCAUAAGAGAAAACUCAGCCUGUUCUUGAUCAUCUCAAGUAAGAAGUUGAAUUCUUUCUGGUCCUGAUAAAACUGAAUAUUCUUUCGUGGUCAGCUCUGCUUUUUGGUUGAUCCUACCUGUGUUGGUCUGACAAUUGAUCUUGUAUUACCUGCUUAGUGCUUACCAAUUAAAACAAUUACCAAUUUUGAUGUGCGCAGAUAGUUUAGGAAAACAAAUGUUCUAAAAAUGCAGCUGCUACUUGUAGUCUGGAGAUUAUUCUAAAAAAAUGAAAUGCUACUGUAGGUUUGAAAUUCUUUUGAAAAAUGUAGCUGCUAUGUAUUUUUAGUUCUCAAAUUGUUCUAAAAUGUCGCUACAAAUUUUCAAUAUGUUUUGGUCCAGCAAAAACAAUUACCGGUUUACGGCUUCGAGCGUGUGGUCACCCGGAGUUGGGUUACAGUUGCCUACACUUCACUUUCUCUAACUCUCGUGCUAUGUGCCCUCUUCCGUUGAUUCAUGUCUUUUCCGCCCUCUAUUCUUUUUUCAUGACCAAACCACAACUCUUUGCCGGGUGUCAACCACACAUCAUACUAUUUAAAUCUUCUGCUAAAGUGACUUGAGAUCAGGUGUACACUGUACCAUGUGCUGGCAAAACAAAGCCUGGCUGAAGCCUUGCUUUGUAUUAUGUUCUUUAGCUAUUACACUUCCAUCUUUAGAAAAGGAUAUUAUGUUGUUUUAUUUGAACUGUAUAUGACUUGGUUAUUUCUGAAAUUCUUUCAUAUGUUAAUGUGAUGUUGCCUCAUCGAACUUUUAUCUUUGGCAAGCAUUAUAUAUUUCAUGGUUGGAUUAAUUUGUCUUCAUGAUUUAGGUUGGGCAAUAUGAUAAAAGCACAAAAGUUAAGCUGAAAUUAGAUGGUGACAAGGAUGUUGGGUGAAAGAACCACAUUGCCGCAUCAAAGCUAUACAGCGAGAUUAGUUGUGAUAUGAUUUACAAUAUAAUGCUUUCGGCUGUGCUGGAGCGAAUGCCCGUGCAUUGAACUAAAACCUGAACUGCUCGUCCGUUAAAACUGUUCGCAGGGGAGGCGAGAGGAGUUGAGGUACCAGCCUGCAGCCUGCACUAGGAAAGUAAUUAGUUCAGUAUAAUUUUUACUCUCAGUCUGGUGAUUGAUGGUGGCAGUAGUGUAGUACUAUUCUAUCCUGGUAGUGUCCUAGCUACGCCAUUUUAUCAUUUAUACUGACAAAACCAAGCUAUGGAAUGCAGGUAACAACUAUUCUGACAUUUGCCGUCGAGCUCUGCUGGUCGUGCAGAAGUUCUUUUUUUUUCAAAGGGACGUGCUCUUUUGCAUAAGGGAGUAAGCAAGGGAGUAGUUGCUGAGAGGAUACUUGCAUCAAUGGUGGAAAGCAGGCUGAUUUUGUACUGUGUAUUGGUGAUGACAGGUCCGAUGAGGACAUGCUUGAAAACAUUGCCGAUAUCAUGGUUACUCCAAGAACACCACUGUUUGCGUGCAUUGUGGGACAAAAACCAAGCAAAGCCCAAUGCUACCUGGACGAUACAUUCGAAGUGGUCACCAUGCUGAGCGCACUGGCAGAUGCCACAAAACCAGAACUGGAGACUGAUUCGGUUGAUGAAUUGGUUGUAUCUAUUUCACCACUUGACAUUGGUGAAUUAUAAUGGCAAAUUUUAAAAUAUGUGACUUGUAUUGUUGCAAACUUCGACCAAACCAUGGGUACAAAAUUUAUUGAUGUUGACAACAAUUUCUUGGUGGUCACUGGAGUGCUUGUAAAUCGUGAUAGAAGUGCAUCAAAUCAUCACAUUUACAUUCAAUUCAUGUUAUUUAAUAUUUUACAAUUUAUAAUUCACCAUGGAUUAUGUCAGACUGCUUUGAAGAGUGUGAUCAGACAAACAUCACAUAGAUUGACA